rnacentral:tRNA from 1 species
AAGGGAGACCUAAUUCGGGUAUAAGACGAAAAAAGAGUAGUCGAAACCAAGAAUCAAUCCCAAAAGGUCGGAACGAGGUAUGUGGCUUUCAAACUAGGUUCUGGGUUCACACAAGACCUGAAUCAGGAACAAGGGCUAUUAGCUCAGGUGGUUAGAGCGCACCCCUGACAAGGGUGAGGUCCCUGGUUCGAGUCCAGGAUGGCCCACCUGCACAGGUGGCAAAAACAAAGAAGCGAGGAAUCAGCACCUUAUCUUAUCUAUAUAUAAGAGAGAAUGCUGGCUCUGAGUAAAGAGUCCAGAGGAACCUUGAAAACUGCAUAGAGCUAGGUGAAAAAGCCAAAAAAGAAGACCGCAA